rnacentral:rRNA from 1 species
AUUGAACGCUGGCGGCAGGCCUAACACAUGCAAGUCGAACGGUAACAGGAAGUGCUUGCACUUCGCUGACGAGUGGCGGACGGGUGAGUAAUGCUUGGGAACUUGCCUUUGCGAGGGGGAUAACAGUUGGAAACGACUGCUAAUACCGCAUAACGUCUACGGACCAAACGGGGCUUAGGCUCCGGCGCAAAGAGAGGCCCAAGUGAGAUUAGCUAGUUGGUAAGGUAAAGGCUUACCAAGGCAACGAUCUCUAGCUGUUCUGAGAGGAAGAUCAGCCACACUGGAACUGAGACACGGUCCAGACUCCUACGGGAGGCAGCAGUGGGGAAUAUUGCACAAUGGGGGAAACCCUGAUGCAGCCAUGCCGCGUGUGUGAAGAAGGCCUUCGGGUUGUAAAGCACUUUCAGUUGUGAGGAAAAGUUAGUAGUUAAUACCUGCUAGCCGUGACGUUAACAACAGAAGAAGCACCGGCUAACUCCG